AGAGUUUGAUCCUGGCUCAGGAUGAACGCUAGCUACAGGCUUAACACAUGCAAGUCGAGGGGAAACGAUAUUGGAAGCUUGCUUCCGAUAGGCGUCGACCGGCGCACGGGUGAGUAACGCGUAUCCAACCUGCCCACCACUUGGGGAUAACCUUGCGAAAGUAAGACUAAUACCCAAUGAUAUCUCUAGAAGACAUCUGAAAGAGAUUAAAGAUUUAUCGGUGAUGGAUGGGGAUGCGUCUGAUUAGCUUGUUGGCGGGGUAACGGCCCACCAAGGCAACGAUCAGUAGGGGUUCUGAGAGGAAGGUCCCCCACAUUGGAACUGAGACACGGUCCAAACUCCUACGGGAGGCAGCAGUGAGGAAUAUUGGUCAAUGGACGAGAGUCUGAACCAGCCAAGUAGCGUGCAGGAAGACGGCCCUAUGGGUUGUAAACUGCUUUUAUAAGGGAAUAAAGUGAGAGUCGUGACUCUUUUUGCAUGUACCUUAUGAAUAAGGACCGGCUAAUUCCGUGCCAGCAGCCGCGGUAAUACGGAAGGUCCGGGCGUUAUCCGGAUUUAUUGGGUUUAAAGGGAGCGUAGGCCGGAGAUUAAGCGUGUUGUGAAAUGUAGACGCUCAACGUCUGCACUGCAGCGCGAACUGGUUUCCUUGAGUACGCACAAAGUGGGCGGAAUUCGUGGUGUAGCGGUGAAAUGCUUAGAUAUCACGAAGAACUCCGAUUGCGAAGGCAGCUCACUGGAGCGCAACUGACGCUGAAGCUCGAAAGUGCGGGUAUCGAACAGGAUUAGAUACCCUGGUAGUCCGCACGGUAAACGAUGGAUGCCCGCUGUUGGUCUGAAUAGGUCAGCGGCCAAGCGAAAGCAUUAAGCAUCCCACCUGGGGAGUACGCCGGCAACGGUGAAACUCAAAGGAAUUGACAGGGGCCCGCACAAGCGGAGGAACAUGUGGUUUAAUUCGAUGAUACGCGAGGAACCUUACCCGGGCUUGAAUUGCAGAGGAAGGAUUUGGAGACAAUGACGCCCUUCGGGGCCUCUGUGAAGGUGCUGCAUGGUUGUCGUCAGCUCGUGCCGUGAGGUGUCGGCUUAAGUGCCAUAACGAGCGCAACCCCUCUCCUUAGUUGCCAUCAGGUUAAGCUGGGCACUCUGGGGACACUGCCACCGUAAGGUGUGAGGAAGGUGGGGAUGACGUCAAAUCAGCACGGCCCUUACGUCCGGGGCUACACACG
rnacentral:rRNA from 1 species